rfam:Epulopiscium sp. Nuni2H_MBin003 Nuni2HMBin003_4, whole genome shotgun sequence.
GCGUGAGUGGCUCAGUGGUAGAGCAUCUCCUUGCCAAGGAGAGGGUCGCGGGUUCGACUCCCGUCUCACGCU